UGAUGAUGUAGUCUCAAUAUAGUGAGAAGAUGUUGAUGUAUGACUACUAGAUGUUACCUCUUUGGACAUCUGUGACACAAAUGAAGCAAAAACUGAAACUUGCCACAGAUCUAAAUUGGCUCUUUACACUGAUGUGCAAACAAAACUGAAACCUCUUCAUGAAAAAUUUACAAUGCUCCUCUGUGUUUUGGAGUCAGAGGGCAAUAGUAGCAAAUGGCAGACAUAACACCAUACUUUAGAUUUGCUGGCAGCAGCAGAGGACAGAA